AGUCGAGCGGUAGCACAGAGGAGCUUGCUCCUUGGGUGACGAGCGGCGGACGGGUGAGUAAAGUCUGGGGAUCUGCCUGAUGGAGGGGGAUAACUACUGGAAACGGUAGCUAAUACCGCAUGACGUCUUCGGACCAAAGUGGGGGACCUUCGGGCCUCACGCCAUGAGAUGAACCCAGAUGGGAUUAGCUGGUAGGUGAGGUAACGGCUCACCUAGGCGACGAUCCCUAGCUGGUCUGAGAGGAUGACCAGCCACACUGGAACUGAGACACGGUCCAGACUCCUACGGGAGGCAGCAGUGGGGAAUAUUGCACAAUGGGGGAAACCCUGAUGCAGCCAUGCCGCGUGUGUGAAGAAGGCCUUCGGGUUGUAAAGCACUUUCAGCGGGGAGGAAGGCAAUGAGCUUAAUAAGUUUGUUGAUUGACGUUACCCGCAGAAGAAGCACCGGCUAACUCCGUGCCAGCAGCCGCGGUAAUACGGAGGGUGCAAGCGUUAAUCGGAAUGACUGGGCGUAAAGCGCACGCAGGCGGUCUGUUAAGUUGGAUGUGAAAUCCCCGGGCUCAACCCGGGAACAGCAUUCAAAACUGACAGGCUAGAGUCUCGUAGAGGGGGGUAGAAUUCCAGGUGUAGCGGUGAAAUGCGUAGAGAUCUGGAGGAAUACCGGUGGCGAAGGCGGCCCCCUGGACGAAGACUGACGCUCAGGUGCGAAAGCGUGGGGAGCAAACAGGAUUAGAUACCCUGGUAGUCCACGCUGUAAACGAUGUCGACUUGGAGGUUGUGGUCUUGAACCGUGGCUUCCGGAGCUAACGCGUUAAGUCGACCGCCUGGGGAGUACGGCCGCAAGGUUAAAACUCAAAUGAAUUGACGGGGGCCCGCACAAGCGGUGGAGCAUGUGGUUUAAUUCGAUGCAACGCGAAGAACCUUACCUACUCUUGACAUCCAGAGAAGACUGUAGAGAUACGGUUGUGCCUUCGGGAGCUCUGAGACAGGUGCUGCAUGGCUGUCGUCAGCUCGUGUUGUGAAAUGUUGGGUUAAGUCCCGCAACGAGCGCAACCCUUAUCCUUUGUUGCCAGCACUUCGGGUGGGAACUCAAAGGAGACUGCCGGUGAUAAACCGGAGGAAGGUGGGGAUGACGUCAAGUCAUCAUGGCCCUUACGAGUAGGGCUACACACGUGCUACAAUGGCGCAUACAAAGAGAAGCGAGCCUGCGAGGGUGAGCGGACCUCAUAAAGUGCGUCGUAGUCCGGAUUGGAGUCUGCAACUCGACUCCAUGAAGUCGGAAUCGCUAGUAAUCGUAGAUCAGAAUGCUACGGUGAAUACGUUCCCGGGCCUUGUACACACCGCCCGUCACACCAUGGGAGUGGGUUGCAAAAGAAGUAGGUAGCUUAACCUUAGGGGGGGCGCU
rnacentral:rRNA from 1 species